UCAUGGCUCAGGAUGAACGCCGGCGGUGUGCCUAAUACAUGCAAGUCGAACGCGUUGGCCCAAUUGAUUGAUGGUGCUUGCACCUGAUUGAUUUUGGUCGCCAACGAGUGGCGGACGGGUGAGUAACACGUAGGUAACCUGCCCAGAAGCGGGGGACAACAUUUGGAAACAGAUGCUAAUACCGCAUAACAACGUUGUUCGCAUGAACAACGCUUAAAAGAUGGCUUCUCGCUAUCACUUCUGGAUGGACCUGCGGUGCAUUAGCUUGUUGGUGGGGUAACGGCCUACCAAGGCGAUGAUGCAUAGCCGAGUUGAGAGACUGAUCGGCCACAAUGGGACUGAGACACGGCCCAUACUCCUACGGGAGGCAGCAGUAGGGAAUCUUCCACAAUGGGCGCAAGCCUGAUGGAGCAACACCGCGUGAGUGAAGAAGGGUUUCGGCUCGUAAAGCUCUGUUGUUAAAGAAGAACACGUAUGAGAGUAACUGUUCAUACGUUGACGGUAUUUAACCAGAAAGUCACGGCUAACUACGUGCCAGCAGCCGCGGUAAUACGUAGGUGGCAAGCGUUAUCCGGAUUUAUUGGGCGUAAAGAGAGUGCAGGCGGUUUUCUAAGUCUGAUGUGAAAGCCUUCGGCUUAACCGGAGAAGUGCAUCGGAAACUGGAUAACUUGAGUGCAGAAGAGGGUAGUGGAACUCCAUGUGUAGCGGUGGAAUGCGUAGAUAUAUGGAAGAACACCAGUGGCGAAGGCGGCUACCUGGUCUGCAACUGACGCUGAGACUCGAAAGCAUGGGUAGCGAACAGGAUUAGAUACCCUGGUAGUCCAUGCCGUAAACGAUGAGUGCUAGGUGUUGGAGGGUUUCCGCCCUUCAGUGCCGGAGCUAACGCAUUAAGCACUCCGCCUGGGGAGUACGACCGCAAGGUUGAAACUCAAAGGAAUUGACGGGGGCCCGCACAAGCGGUGGAGCAUGUGGUUUAAUUCGAAGCUACGCGAAGAACCUUACCAGGUCUUGACAUCUUGC
rnacentral:rRNA from 1 species